UACGUAGGGUGCAAGCGUUAAUCGGAAUUACUGGGCGUAAAGCGUGCGCAGGCGGUUGUGCAAGACCGAUGUGAAAUCCCCGGGCUUAACCUGGGAAUGGCAUUGGUGACUGCACGGCUAGAGUGUGUCAGAGGGGGGUAGAAUUCCACGUGUAGCAGUGAAAUGCGUAGAGAUGUGGAGGAAUACCGAUGGCGAAGGCAGCCCCCUGGGAUAACACUGACGCUCAUGCACGAAAGCCGUGGGGAGCAAACAGG
rnacentral:rRNA from 1 species